AGAGUUUGAUCCUGGCUCAGGAUGAACGCUGGCGGCGUGCCUAACACAUGCAAGUCGAACGGAGACGGACCUGGAAGUAACAGUUUACUGUAACGGAAAGAUCUGUCUUAGUGGCGGACGGGUGAGUAACGCGUGGGCAACCUGCCCUGUACCGGGGGAUAACACUUAGAAAUAGGUGCUAAUACCGCAUAAUAAGGAAGACCGCAUGGUGGUCCUUUGAAAACUCCGGUGGUACAGGAUGGGCCCGCGUCUGAUUAGCCAGUUGGCGGGGUAACGGCCCACCAAAGCGACGAUCAGCAGCCGGCCUGAGAGGGUGGACGGCCACACUGGGACUGAGACACGGCCCAGACUCCUACGGGAGGCAGCAGUGGGGAAUAUUGCACAAUGGGGGGAACCCUGAUGCAGCGACGCCGCGUGAGUGAAGAAGUAUCUCGGUAUGUAAAGCUCUGUCAGCAGGGAAGAAGAAAGACGGUACCUGACCAAGAAGCCCCGGCUAACUACGUGCCAGCAGCCGCGGUAAUACGUAGGGGGCAAGCGUUAUCCGGAUUUACUGGGUGUAAAGGGAGCGUAGACGGCAGGGCAAGUCUGGAGUGAAAGGCAGGGGCCCAACCCCUGGACUGCUCUGGAAACUGUCCGGCUGGAGUGCAGGAGAGGUAAGUGGAAUUCCUAGUGUAGCGGUGAAAUGCGUAGAUAUUAGGAGGGACACCAGUGGCGAAGGCGGCUUACUGGACUGUAACUGACGUUGAGGCUCGAAAGCGUGGGGAGCAAACAGAAUUAGAUACCCUGGUAGUCCACGCCGUAAACGAUGAUCACCAGGUGGUCGGGGGUUAA
rnacentral:rRNA from 1 species